UACGUAGGGUGCAAGCGUUGUCCGGAUUUAUUGGGCGUAAAGAGCUCGUAGGCGGUUUGUCGCGUCGGAUGUGAAAACCCAGGGCUCAACCCUGGGCCUGCAUUCGAUACGGGCAAACUAGAGUAUGGCAGGGGAGACUGGAAUUCCUGGUGUAGCGGUGAAAUGCGCAGAUAUCAGGAGGAACACCGGUGGCGAAGGCGGGUCACUGGCCCGAUACUGACGCUGAGGCACGAAAGCGUGGGGAGCAAACAGG
rnacentral:rRNA from 1 species